rnacentral:rRNA from 1 species
GUUGGAAACGACUGCUAAUACCGCAUAAGCGCACGGGAUCGCAUGAUCCAGUGUGAAAAACUCCGGUGGUACAGGAUGGACCCGCGUCUGAUUAGCUGGUUGGUGAGGUAACGGCCCACCAAGGCAACGAUCAGUAGCCGGCCUGAGAGGGUGAACGGCCACAUUGGGACUGAGACACGGCCCAAACUCCUACGGGAGGCAGCAGUGGGGAAUAUUGCACAAUGGGGGAAACCCUGAUGCAGCGACGCCGCGUGAGUGAAGAAGUAUUUCGGUAUGUAAAGCUCUAUCAGCAGGGAAGAAAAUGACGGUACCUGACUAAGAAGCCCCGGCUAACUACGUGCCAGCAGCCGCGGUAAUACGUAGGGGGCAAGCGUUAUCCGGAUUUACUGGGUGUAAAGGGAGCGUAGACGGCAUGGCAAGUCUGAAGUGAAAUGCGGGGGCUCAACCCCUGAACUGCUUUGGAAACUGUCAGGCUGGAGUGCAGGAGAGGUAAGUGGAAUUCCUAGUGUAGCGGUGAAAUGCGUAGAUAUUAGGAGGAACACCAGUGGCGAAGGCGGCUUACUGGACUGUAACUGACGUUGAGGCUCGAAAGCGUGGGGAGCAAACAGGAUUAGAUACCC